rnacentral:rRNA from 1 species
AGUGAACGCUGGCGGUAGGCCUAACACAUGCAAGUCGAACGGCAGCACAGUAAGAGCUUGCUCUUACGGGUGGCGAGUGGCGGACGGGUGAGGAAUACAUCGGAAUCUACUUUUUCGUGGGGGAUAACGUAGGGAAACUUCCGCUAAUACCGCAUACGACCUACGGGUGAAAGCAGGGGAUCUUCGGACCUUGCGCGAUUGAAUGCGCCGAUGUCGGAUUAGCUAGUUGGCGGGGUAAAGGCCCACCAAGGCGACGAUCCGUAGCUGGUCUGAGAGGAUGAUCAGCCACACUGGAACUGAGACACGGUCCAGACUCCUACGGGAGGCAGCAGUGGGGAAUAUUGGACAAUGGGCGCAAGCCUGAUCCAGCCAUACCGCGUGGGUGAAGAAGGCCUUCGGGUUGUAAAGCCCUUUUGUUGGGAAAGAAAAGCAGCAGGUUAAUACCCCGCUGUUCUGACGGUACCCAAAGAAUAAGCACCGGCUAACUUCGUG